AACGUAGGAGACAAACGUUAUCCGGAGUUACUGGGCGUAAAGGGCGUGUAGGUGGUUUUGUAAGUCUGGCGUGAAAUUUUUCGGCUUAACCGGGAAAGGUCGUCGGAUACUGCAGGACUAGAGGACGGUAGAGGCGUGUGGAAUUCCGGGUGUAGUGGUGAAAUGCGUAGAGAUCCGGAGGAACACCAGUGGCGAAGGCGACCAUCUGGACGACAACUGACGCUGAGGCGCGAAAGCGUGGGUAGCAAACAGG
rnacentral:rRNA from 1 species